AUUUAUUUCUAAUGUGCAUUAAAUAUAUUGCAUGCUUGUAAUUAAUACGCUCUUUUUAUUUACCAUAUACAAAUAGUAUAUGCAUUGUUUUUUUAGAGCAUCUAGACUUGUUUGUUGCGUCACGGAUUUGUGGCACUCGCGUGUCUAAUUGGGCUUUAAUUCAGCAAGAAUCAGUACAAACUGAUCACAAUAUACAUUAAGUUCGUUAAGUAACUUAUAUGGAACGCCUUCAAUCGAUGUCAGACAUGUCUGUCUAUAAAAGUAUUUGUUUCUAUGCAAACUAGUCUCUUAGAAUUAACAUUGGUCCGCCUAUCUGUUGCAGACAGUAAAUUUGUCGGAGUUUGGCGGAUUGCUAUAUGAAAUAGCUAUCACAGGACUGAUUGUUCUAGUUUGCCGUCAACUUAGUACCAAAUGCAAACCUGGCACAAUAACAACAGCGAAGAGAGCACGCGCCAAAAACUCACCAAAAAUGAAGCGACAAUGCAGCAGCAGUAGCAGCAGCAGCAGCAAGGCCAUUAUAUCGCACACACACACAAACACACAGCGACAAAUUGGUCUGACAGCAUCGGAUGGGGCAUUUCUAACUAUGCGACCUCAACACCAGUAACCAACACCAACAACAGGCACCGCACCCUCUGUUUCUUCCAACCGAAAACUCGCAACAACAAAUGAAAAUUCCAAGAAUAUUCGCAUUCGCAGUGAGUUUUGGCUUUUGCGGCUGCCAGUCGCUGUUUACUUGGCUUCCCCGGUUAUUUACGGCCUGCAAAUUUUUUGCCAUCCUAUUUGGUUUCUAUAUACCAAUUUUUUGUUUCUUUUCUUUUUUAUUAUUCUUUUUUUUUUUUGGUUCAUUGUUUGUUGCUGGCUCGUUGCCAAAAGGGAAAUAUGUGUUGUGAAAAUUGCACAUUUUUAUAGCCAUCGCUAGGUGCUAAACUAUGGGUAUCUGCUCCUUUCCUCCCACUCCGAUUCCGACCUUUUUAAUUGCGCUGCAAUUUUUUAGUAUUGAUUUUUGAUUUGUUAUUAAAAUAAGGGAAUUUUCAACGAAUUUCGUGUAAUUUGAUUAUGGUUCCUCGUUUUCGCCACGCUAUUCGCUAAUUAGGCCCAUGAAGCUGCGACGUGUAUGGCUCGUUUCGCUUGUUACAUAAUUUAUUUUUCAUAUGUAGCAAAGCCGCACAAUUUGCAAAUAUUUUGUAGUCGUGUUAAUAAGUAAGCAAAUUAGUUAUCACGAAUGUGUGAUGCUCUUUCCAGUUAUACAGACAUUUUUGCGGCGAUGCCGUUGAGGCCUUAAACGAGGCCUUAAACUCUUUGUAAGAGGAUGAUAACGUUUUUUUU